UACGGAGGAUGCGAGCGUUAUCCGGAUUUAUUGGGUUUAAAGGGUGCGCAGGCGGCACGGCAAGCCGGCGGUCAAAUCGCGGGGCUCAACCCCGCCCAGCCGUCGGAACUGCCGGGCUAGAGUGGGCGAGAAGUGCGCGGAAUGCGUGGUGUAGCGGUGAAAUGCAUAGAUAUCACGCAGAACUCCGAUUGCGAAGGCAGCGCACCGGCGCCCUACUGACGCUCAGGCACGAAAGCGUGGGUAUCGGACAGG
rnacentral:rRNA from 1 species